rnacentral:rRNA from 1 species
GACGAACGCUGGCGGCGUGCCUAAUACAUGCAAGUCGAACGCUUCUUUCCUCCCGAGUGCUUGCACUCAAUUGGAAAGAGGAGUGGCGGACGGGUGAGUAACACGUGGGUAGCCUACCCAUCAGAGGGGGAUAACACUUGGAAACAGGUGCUAAUACCGCAUAACAGUUUAUGCCGCAUGGCAUAAGAGUGAAAGGCGCUUUCGGGUGUCGCUGAUGGAUGGACCCGCGGUGCAUUAGCUAGUUGGUAAGGUAACGGCUUACCAAGGCGAUGAUGCAUAGCCGAGUUGAGAGACUGAUCGGCCACAAUGGAACUGAGACACGGUCCAU